rnacentral:rRNA from 1 species
GAUGAACGCUAGCUACAGGCUUAACACAUGCAAGUCGAGGGACCGGCGCACGGGUGAGUAACACGUAUCCAACCUGCCCUUUACUCGGGGAUAGCCUUUCGAAAGAAAGAUUAAUACCCGAUGUAAAGGAGGGGGAUGCGUUCCAUUAGGUUGUUGGUGAGGUAACGGCUCACCAAGCCUUCGAUGGAUAGGGGUUCUGAGAGGAAGGUACCCCACAUUGGAACUGAGACACGGGCCAAACUUGUACGUGAGGCAGCAGGGAGGAAUAUUGGUCAAUGGUCGUGAGCCUGAACCAGCCAAGUAGCGUGAAGGAUGAAGGCUUAUGGGUCGUAAACUUCUUGUAUAUAAGAAUAUGUAUUAUAUGAAUAAGGAUCGGCUAACUCCGUGCCAGCCGCCGCGGUAAUUC